GGGCUGGGUGGCCGGUGCGCGAGGGAGCACUCUCCCCUGAGUGCUUCCUCUUCAGCUCCCUCGCGCUCCGCACUGAUACCGGAGUCGGCGCGCAAGGGAGCUUGAAGAGGAAGCACUCAUGGGAGAGUGCUCCCUCACGCGCCGGCCACCCAGACA